CCGGGACCCCAGCAUUCCGAAGGCGGGUGACAUACAUGACCCCAUCAUCUCUUAGAACAUCAUGUUGACAGGUGAGCACAUAGGUCUGGGGUAAGCCAC